GACGAACCGUGCGAACGUUGUUCGGAAUCACUGGGCUUAAAGGGCGCGUAGGCGGCUGCGUAAGUCUCGGGUGAAAUCUUUCGGCUUAACCGGAAACGUGCCUGGGAUACUGCGUAGCUGGAGGGAGAUAGGGGCGGACGGAACUUCCGGUGGAGCGGUGAAAUGCGUUGAUAUCGGAAGGAACGCCGGUGGCGAAAGCGGUCCGCUGGAUCUCUACUGACGCUGAGGCGCGAAAGCCAGGGGAGCAAACGGG
rnacentral:rRNA from 1 species